CCAAUUAAAUUCCUAACAAUUACCAACCAAUAAUCGGAAAGAAGGAACAGUUCCUCCGUUUAUUACUUAAUUCCGUUUCGAAACAUCUGGUUCUUCGGCUAUCCGUAUUUAGUCUGUUGUCGGAUGAAAAAAAUUUAAUUCCCGAAAGAAAUUUUAGUAAAUAAAAGAGAAAAGCAUUUUAUGGAGACUAUUGAGAAAUGGCGAACAUAGCCGUUCAAAGAAUUAAACGGGAAUUUAAAGAAGUUGUUAAAAGUGAAGAGGUUGCUAAGUGUGCUAUCAGAGUAGAACUUGUAAAUGAUAAUUAUACUGAACUUAAAGGAGAAAUAGCUGGUCCUCCUGAUACUCCAUACGAAGGUGGUAAUUUUGUUUUAGAAAUCAAAGUUCCAGAAACUUAUCCUUUUAAUCCUCCUAAGGUUCGAUUUGUUACAAAGAUAUGGCAUCCAAAUAUUAGUUCUGUAACUGGAGCAAUAUGUUUAGAUAUACUGAAAGACCAAUGGGCUGCUGCCAUGACAUUAAGAACUGUACUUCUAUCAUUACAAGCAUUGUUAGCAGCAGCAGAACCAGAUGAUCCUCAAGAUGCUGUUGUAGCAAAACAAUUUAAAGAAAAUCCAGAAAUGUUCAAACUUACUGCAAAACAUUGGGCUCAAGUUUAUGCUGGAGCACCUUCAAAUACACCAGAAUUUGAUGUAAAGAUAAAGAGGUUGGUUGAUAUGGGAGUAGAUGAGGUUGUGUAGCAGCAGUUACACUGCAGAUACAAUACCACCUAACUCAAACCUCAAUAACAACUAAAUGCACAGAGCUAGAGUGGCCUUAUCAUCAUGUUCCUGGGAUCUUGAAAAGGCAACAGAAACAUUAUUCAGCUAGAUAAUAUUUACAGUUUAAUAAAUUAUCCUUAUAGGACUUAAAAUUUCACGCCAAAAAAUAAAUUUAACUGAUAAAAAAAAAGUUAUUUUCUGCAUUUAGAAUGCAUGUUGAAGUAUCUUCCAUUUAGCAUAUCAGACACCUGGCAGUAACCUUGUUGGUUACUUUAAUUUAAACUUAAAAAUUUAUUUGCAUUUUUAUAUUUCUCAACUGUAAUUUUACAACUGUUCUAAAUUAAUAUGUUAAGAUCCUAAUAAACAAUUGUGGUGAUAGAUUUUUUAAAUAAAUUAAUCUCAUCUCUAGCCCAUGGAGAAAAAUCUUUUUAUAAAUAUGCUACAUUGCCAAAAUGUUUCAGAAUGUUAAAUAAAUGCAUUAUAUUGUUAAUGGUUUUUCAAUGAUUUAAGUGUAUAUCAGCCACUUCACCAUUAGUUGUUUUAAUUAUGACAUCUUUUUUCAUAAAGAAUAUUGCUGAUACAGGACAUGCAUCACGAAAUGUCGACACUUUCAAAUAUCAUUUUGUGUUUGUGUCUCUGUAAACAAUGUAAAGAAAAUGAAAUAUAUGAAAAAUGAGAUAGAUGUAUAAUGAAUCACACAUUCUUACACAUUGUAAACAAUAUAUCAUUUAAGUUAAUGUCAAAUAAAGAAAAAUAAAUGACAGUUUUUAUA